rnacentral:rRNA from 1 species
GAUGAACGCUAGCGACAGGCUUAACACAUGCAAGUCGAGGGGCAGCAUAAAAGUAGCAAUACUUUGGUGGCGACCGGCGCACGGGUGAGUAACGCGUAUGCAACCUACCUAUCAGAGGGGGAUAACCCGGCGAAAGUCGGACUAAUACCGCAUAAAACAGGGGCACCGCAUGGUGAUAUUUGUUAAAAAUUUAUUGCUGAUAGAUGGGCAUGCGUUCCAUUAGGUAGUUGGAGAGGUAACGGCUCACCAAGCCCACGAUGGAUAGGGGAACUGAGAGGUUGGUCCCCCACACUGGUACUGAGACACGGACCAGACUCCUACGGGAGGCAGCAGUGAGGAAUAUUGGUCAAUGGGCGAGAGCCUGAACCAGCCAAGUCGCGUGAAGGAAGAAGGAUCUAUGGUUCGUAAACUUCUUUUGCUAGGGGAAUAAAGUGCAGGACGUGUCCUGUUUUGUAUGUACCCUGAGAAUAAGGAUCGGCUAACUCCGUGCCAGCAGCCGCGGU